rnacentral:rRNA from 1 species
UACGUAGGGUGCAAGCGUUGUCCGGAAUUAUUGGGCGUAAAGAGCUCGUAGGCGGUCUGUCGCGUCUGCUGUGAAAACUCAGGGCUUAACCCUGAGCUUGCAGUGGGUACGGGCAGACUAGAGUGCGGUAGGGGAGACUGGAAUUCCUGGUGUAGCGGUGAAAUGCGCAGAUAUCUGGAGGAACACCGGUGGCGAAGGCGGCAUCCUGGACCGGUAUUGACGCUGAGGAGCGAAAGCCAGGGGAGCAAACGGG